UACGGAGGGAGCUAGCGUUGUUCGGAAUUACUGGGCGUAAAGGGCGCGUAGGCGGCCUCUUAAGUCGAACGUGAAAUCCCCGGGCUCAACCCGGGAACUGCGUCCGAUACUGGGGGGCUUGAAUCCGGGAGAGGGAUGUGGAAUUCCAGGUGUAGCGGUGAAAUGCGUAGAUAUCUGGAGGAACACCGGUGGCGAAGGCGGCAUCCUGGACCGGUAUUGACGCUGAGGCGCGAAAGCUAGGGGAGCAAACGGG
rnacentral:rRNA from 1 species